UCGCACCCACCGAUUGAAUGGUCCGGUGAAGCCUCGGGAUUGUGACCAGUUUGCUUUGUUGUGAGUUGGUCGCGAGAACUUGUCUGAACCUUGUCAUUUAGAGGAAGGUG
rnacentral:rRNA from 1 species